ensembl:lncRNA
ACAUGCGUCCCCCUCCCCCUUCCUGGCUCCCCAUAGCAAAACCGUGCAGCGCACCCCGCCCAGGCGACGCGUUCCGCAGACAUCGCCGAGACCCCACGCGACGCGUCCGUCUAGACAGCCGCUCGUGUCUUUUGUGUUGCGACGGCAAGCCGAGCACACGCCACCCCUGGAACCUGCAACCACGGGGACCUCCCUUGCAACAGGGGACAGGGAUGCUGGUGGACACCGUCCUUACCGGUGGGGACCACAGGGUUGUGCCGUGAUCACAUGUUCUGUGCUCUGCACCGAGAUAGAGAGAGAGAGAGAGAGAGAGAGAGAGAAAGAGAGAGAGACAGAGCUACUGAACUCAGGCUCGGACUCCGAAAGCCCAGCGGACCAAGUUAACCGGUGCCUGGAUGAAAGGCUUCUUUAUUCCGAUCGCUCUCCGGUCUCAAUGACCCUCAAGGACGCAGUGCAAACAUUUCAGUCCUGGAGGACGGUUAAGGAACAGCUCCUCCGCAAUCAGAGCAGCCCAGGAGGGUCUUCACUCCAGGGGCUCUUCAGGGACCUCGGCCGCUGUGUUAUGAAUUCCUGGAAUCAAGCGUCCACUUUGUAAGUGGUUGACAAAUUGAGGUUCAGUGUGCCUGGAAAAUGACCACAGUGGUGCCCCUUCCAGCAGGUGGCUUAUGAUACAUCAAGGCCAAAGUUGAAGCUUCCAGUAUUGAGAUGUAGUAUUCUGAAGCAAGACGCGUAAUGCAAACAGUGGGGGUCCGACUUUGUUUUAAAAAUCCGAAACAUGGGUAGUAGGUGGUGUAGUGAUUAAAGACACAGACUUGGAAGAGGGGACUCAAGUGCUGGGAGAAACUCUGCACUUGAGCUCUAAACGGGUCACUUAAAACACCACCGUAAAAAAAUGAGUAAAAUAGAUUGAUAAUAAGCCUAGGAACAAAUUUCCGUUUCAGUUUAUUCAUUUAGUGACACUUUCCUCCAAAGUGGCUUACAGUGUUAAAGGGUAAUUUCUGCUCUAUUUUACCUUAUUGAUUUACACUUUCUUCCAAAGUGACACAUAAUGUUAAAGUACUCGAUUCAGGGUAAGAACCUUGCUCAAGGGUACUACAGUACAAGGUGGGAUUUUAACGUGGGUCCUUCGAGUGCAAGGCAGCAGCUCUAACAACUACGCCCCCUGCUGCUUGAAGCUUUCCCGUGUUUAACUGCGGUACCGCAAUGGAUGGGCGUAGGAUCUAUAUCCCUGACUUCUUUUCACCCCUUGGAACCACGUUCACUAAAUACUGGAUGUGCAAAAGGAGAUGAUUAUGAUCUGCCUUUACCACGGUAAGCAGAGUUCAACAAGGCCGAAAGUCUCAGAAUGAAGAGCUGAAAAACAAGUGUCAUUGUUUCCAAAGAGUGAAAGAGGAACUUUGGCCAAAAUGCCCCAAGCAAAACUUCUCCUUUCUGCGUUGCACUCCGCUAAUUGGAGACCGUAGGACCCUAUUUUUAGUCGCUGCGAAGCCCUGCGUGGUCCGCUGUCGCACGCCUGUCUCUCACACAGCUGCACUUAUAGGUAGGCAGUGUGUGUGUGUGUGUGUGCAACCGAUGGCUUCAGAAGUACGGUUCGCCGUGUCUUGCGUGGGGAAGAGUUGAGGUUGCUGACCGGACAAGACGCGACUCGCUAGAGGUGAAGGCCACUGCCUCGGAGCUCCGCGACUGAAGCAGAGCCAAGCGCAUGGAGUAAGUUACCGCAGUUUACCAUCUCGGUUCUGGCAGUGCACAGUGACAGACUGGUACGCUCUCGGUCCCAGAAUGUUCUGGGUGUUUUUCGGCAAGAUUGCCGUCGUCGACUGAAAAGAAAGAGACCCUUCUCGAGCGCUCGGCCUUCAGCUGGACCCGUCAUUCAAAGUGUCGCACAUUAACAUCCCCGCAACGCACCCAGUUGGGUGUGCGAUGCGUUCGGCUGCAGAAACGUACGUUGAAGGUGAGUCACAACUUCUGCUGCGAGAUGAAUAUCUUGAGAAUUUCUUGCUCUGAAGUUUUCCAAAGCAGGGUGUGGGGGCGCGGGGGGUUUGGCCGGGUUCUGUUCUUUGGUGGAUCUGGGGUUCGAGUCCUGCUUGGGGUGCCCUGUGACGGACUGGCAUCCUGUCCUGGGUGUGUUUGUCCCCCCCCCCCAGCCUUACACCCUGUGUUGCCAGGUUAGGCUCCGGUUCACUGCGACCCCGCUUAGGACAAGCAGCUUUAGCCAGUGUGUGUGUGUGUGUGUGUGUGUGUGUGUGUGAGAGUUUUCUAAGGCCUUAAAAGUGUUCUGUAUUACAAAGCAAUACUUCCUAGAGAGAAAAUUUUAUAUAAAUACCACUUUGCCCAGUCGUGGUUAAGGAUAAAGGCUUCUCCUGAUGGCUGUCAGUUUAAGUCCAAUAAGGGGCUCUGCUGCUGAAAUAUUCAAACUGAAUUUCAACAACAUUCCUUGUUACUCUGGAGUGCAAUAAACAUGUUGGCUAAGUAUGUGGCA